UCACCUCUUCAAGAAAAACUUACAGUAGAACUGCAAGAACUUGGACCAAUUUUUCCUCUUCAUAUAAAUACGUUUGGGCAUACAUAAGGAAGCAAUAGUCUUGCCUCCAUGGAUUGCCCUUGCUGUGCGUCCUAGGCCUGGUGUGUGGGAGUACAUUAGGGUAAAAUCCAUGCCCUGGUUGUUGAGGAGUUGCAAGUGACCGAGUUCCUUCAUUUCAAGGAAGAACUCGUCGAUGGAAAGUAAGUCUUUCUUUUUUCAUUUUUGGCUUUUAGCACCACAUGGAUGCUAGCAUGCUUUGCUUUUGGCGGAAGGACUGUAGGUUACUCGAAUUUGUGGAUCGUUGGCAGUCACGGCAUUACAUCAUGAGAUCUAGAAUAUGUAAAUGAAUGCCGCUUACUCUGUUGCAGUUUGAAUGGAAACUUUGUGCUUGAAUUGGACUUUGAGCCAUUCACCACCCAAUUUCCCUGCCCAACUCUUUCGAAGUCCAUUGGAAAUGGAGUGGAGUUCCUCAACCGCCACCUUUCGGCAAAGCUCUUCCAUGACAAGGAGAGCUUGCACCCUCUGCUUGAGUUCCUUCAAGUUCAUUGCUACAAAGGAAAGAAUGUGAUGGUCAACACAAGAAUUCAAAAUGUCUUCUCGCUCCAACAUGUCCUGAGGAAGGCAGAGGAGUACCUCUCUGCCCUCAAACCUGAGACACCUCACUCUCAGUUUGAGCACAAGUUUCAGGAAAUUGGGCUAGAGAGGGGCUGGGGCGACACCGCCGACCGUGUGCUUGAAAUGAUUCGGCUUC